UUAAUCUUUGGGAAAAAGCCUUCGCAUUGAAAUACCUCGAAACGCAUCGCGUCUCUCAGCAGAAAACCUUCCCCAUUGUUCUCCAAAUGACCGUCGGAUAUGCCAAGAGUUAUAGGUAUUUACAAGUUUAGGAAAACUGUAGAAAGGAAUAUGAAUCAGAUUUCAGGGUGAAGAUAGUGUAAGCCCUCUCCGCUACAAAAAUUCCUUAACCAAAAAAGACUCACGCAGUUAGUGGCAAUUUAAGCAGAAACGUAGAAACUAUUCAUUUUAAUACCAACCAUAUAGAUAAAAGGUUCAAACACUUUCUCCGAUAGUCCAUUGGGAAAAAAAGCCGAGACCUAAAUGAAUGGUAGUAAUGAAGUAUUUGUUUCUUGACGCAUAACUAAUGAGUCAAUAAUUGAUAAUAAAACGAGUUGGCACGUAGUUUGAUCAUUUCAGUUGCUCAAGACUCUUCAGUCCACAGCUCCUGAGAGGUUACGGCAGUUAUUCUGGUUUUAAAAUUUUAAAGGGAAGCUUUGAAAGCAAGAACAAGCAGCGAUCAACAUGACUUGCAUUGAGAAGAUUCUCCUGGCUAUUGUCAUUGUCCAAGUAGCUUGUGUUAUGGCCAAACAUAUACACAGGGAAGAUGAAUUUUCCCUAGAUGACGGCACAUACAGCAGUUUACGCAAACGAGCAAGUAAGUAGCUCUGCACUCCCAAACUUCGUUAGUUUUAAAACACAAUGAUGUGCAUGGUACCAGUUUUUGUAUACACAUGGAUUCUUUCUUUCUUUCAUUACCCAGCAUGCAUGAAUACUCUCGUCCUAUCAAAAGGAACCAACAGCUGCAUGAUGUGUUGAAUCAAAUUUUUCCGUACAAGUUGACAGAACGAUAUCUUAGUUUAAUAAUAACAAACAUUCCCCAAGUUUGUCCCAAUCGAACUUGUAGACAAGAAGGUCUUCAAACUGCAAUUCAAACCUGUGUCUUUUUAGAUCUUUUCUUUUGUAGUUGGUAAGUACAACGUACUACAUUGUGGAGUUUAUCGCUGAUAAGUAUUCUGAAACUUGUUUUGUAAUCUUCUUUCUCAAGCCGACUGUGGCAGCGGCGC